rnacentral:lncRNA from 1 species
AGCCGUUAUCGGAGAGCGGGAGAAGUGAAGGAGCGGAGGUGAGGGUGGCGGAGGGGAAGAAAAAGGAGGAUGGCGAGAGGAAAUAUGCGGAGGUGGCAAGCUUGUUGACGACGAAGGGGCCCACAUUCCUGGGAUUGUGAACCCUUCUCAACUUGCACGGUGGGUCAAGAUGUGAGGAACUGAUGACGCUUGAUUAACCUGGGACGUCAAAGUGCCUGCCUGAAGUGACGACUCUGUUUUUGCAACUUUAUUUCCUCUGUUUUUUCUUUUGUGUUGAGGACGGUGAUCGGAUGGGUACCGGCGGGGGGGGGGGGGGGCAUAUUUGUUGCGAAUUCUUGGUUGAAUAAUUAGGGGGAUUAGAGAUUCGUAUAGAAGAAAAGACAAGGCAAAUGAUGAAUAAUGAUAGCGUCCACUUCCACUGCAUGCAUGGUGAAUAAAGCACAUGAAUGAUGAUGAUGAUGAUGAUGAUGAUGAUGAUGUACCGGUAGGUAGUAGAAUGUAAGAGGAUUGGGUUGAAAGUGUUACUUACAGUUUGUAGUUGCAUUGAAAAUCAAUCGAAUCAGUUGCAAUUUAUUCAAGAUAUAUACUCUGUCUGCUAAUCUCUUUUAAUUUGUUGUCUGCUAUUAGCUGAUUUGCGGUUGUACUGAUUGUUUAUAUGAUACCGAUAUUGAUUUCCCGUUAGAAUGAAUGAAUGCGUAUCUGUUAG